UACGAAGGGGGCUAGCGUUGCUCGGAAUCACUGGGCGUAAAGGGUGCGUAGGCGGGUUUUUAAGUCAGGGGUGAAAUCCUGGAGCUCAACUCCAGAACUGCCUUUGAUACUGAAGAUCUUGAGUCCGGGAGAGGUGAGUGGAACUGCGAGUGUAGAGGUGAAAUUCGUAGAUAUCGAGAGGAACACCGGUGGCGAAGGCGGCCUUCUGGACAGUGACUGACGCUGAGACGCGAAAGCGUGGGGAGCAAACAGG
rnacentral:rRNA from 1 species